UCUUAUGUUUACCAAAAGUUCAGGAAAUACUAGCGUUCAAGAACUCGCCUUCGAAACUAAACAACACAUUGAGGAAUGGACUACAUCAAGGACCACCUGGAAGAACCCUUGCUGCAGCUAGGAUAUGGCACCAGUUAAUCAGAUGAGGACGACUUCUCUGCCAUGAAAACAUCUCAAGCAUAAAAAAGCUCCAAACAGCUGGACAGAUACCUGGCCUGUUCAGCUGAUCAUAUGGAGUUGCUCAAGUCCUUCCCGGCAGUCUGUAAGCUGUCUCUGAGGUUAAACGCACCCUUACCUGUAUCAGCUGCCUGUGAAAGGCUGUUCAGCAUUGCAGGACUUGUUUUCAGCCACAGGAGAGCAAGGCUGGAUUCCAGAAACUUUGAAAAGAAUAUUUUACUGAAGCUGAACUGUAAAUUCUUCAACUUCAAGUAAUGACAGCUUAACACUAGCAAGCCCAAGGACACGGAUGCCUUAUGCGUUUUGUUAAUUUAUGUUUAAAAUUCACAAGUUAUAGGUGUCCUUGUUACAAAGGCAAGACCUGACACACUGAUUUCUAAUACAGUUCCAUCAGUGGUGAUGUCCUUAUAUUCCUACAGUGAGGUUGUGUGUACUUUGGAUGAGCUAAACAUUUUAUUUUUAUGUAUAGGGUUCUAUUAUACAAUGUUUUUUUCUAAAGCAAAGUGUCAGUGAUUGUAAGUUCUUACGUGUACUGGCUAUAUUCCCGUCAUUAUUAAGGCAUAAUUCUAUUUUGUCUGUAAGAGAUGUAUUUUGAAGUGUUUCCGAUUUGAGAAUCCACUUUUUUUCUGAGCUCUUCUUGCAUCCGUAAGUAAGACUGUUACCUUUAGAAAAGCUCAAACUGAAUAAAAGGUCUGUCUUUUUUGCUUUUUUGAUACUUAAGUACAUCCACCACUGCUUAAUAUAAGGAAUUAAAUGUAUAACAUUU